CUGCUCACACACACAAACGAAACCCCCCGAACCGCAUUGUGCCAGGCCAUGUCCCCCAAAUCGCAUCAUGCCAGGCAAUGCCCCCCAAACCGCAUCAUGCCAGGCCAUGUCCCCCAAACCGCAUCAUGCCAGGCUAUGCCCCUCGUUACACCUCUCUAUGUGGGUAACGCAACCGAGGUGUAUAAAACACACACACAUACAUACAUACAUACAUUCAUAUAGGGUUUGGCACUACUGGUAAGGCGCGACCAUUGCCCCCGGGAGAUCCCGGGAUCGAUACCCAGUAGGGUCAAAGUCCUUCCGAUGGUGGAAGGCAUUGCGCCCCUAGUUGAUGGACGGUGGUGACCUGGGAUAAAGUUAACCUGCGAGCCGACCAGGAACGGAGUUGGGCCGCUGUCGACCCGGCAGAUUCCGUUGGAUGCUGGUGGUGGGUGCGGAACCUGAGCGAUCCACUGAGAAGUUGACUAGGGUGACUGGAUGAGGGUGCCCCGAAAUACCGGGGAAGGCAGGGUUUCGCAGGGUAGCUGCCACGGGCGAAGAUACACCCCCCUGUUUCACACAUCAUACAUACAUACAUACAUACACACACACACUCUUGGGACCCUCCUUCCUACAGCCCUCGGGCGGCUGCCAAUCAACACCUGCGCAGAGUGCGAACACAUCCCCUGAUACACGAUUUGCAACAUGCAACUGGAAAGACCACACACCAAAGGACCCACGUGUACGUGUACAUCUAAGGCGGAGACGUCUUGCCGUACUGCCCCCUGCCUGGACGACAACAAACAUCAAAAUAAAUAUAUCUUCACACACUUAAAAACACCUCUAAAACUUUGGCAGUUUGUUUGCAACAAUACAGAUAUUACUGACUGCUGUGCACAGAGAACUGUCGCGCUUUCCGGGAGAAAAAUUCCCAAGUCCGCCCACACAAAGGUGGUCGGUGUAGACCUUCCCCCCCCCCCCGCGCACCGCCUCAUCAUCAGGGCCAUCGUGCCAUCAAGUCAACAACGAAAACAACAAUGAAAAUCGUCCCGUCGUACCCACUGGACAUUCACCUUGAACGACAUUACCAUCCACCCGAUCUUGGUCCUCCUCGAGGCACGUAGAGAGGUGGUAGAGAGGUGGUGGAGAGACGACUGCAACUGGUGCAUCAAACGCUGGACGGAGGUGUCGACACCUCCGUCACACAAACCAAAAAAAAAUCGGUGGGUCCGAGCUCCAAGAGAACGUCCGUCUCCUACGUCUCAAAAACGGCCAAAACAAUGACGUAAAAUGAAAUGCACCAACUGACAAAACGACCACCGUGCAUCACAAGUUCAAAACACGACCACCCAGAACCGCCCAGUACCUGCAACAAAUCAUGUCACCUUCGUAAUAUCGUACAUACAUACUUAUAUACAUACAUACACACACACGUACUUUCCCCAUCACCCCCAAUCUCAAUCUUCUCGCAAUCCCCCUCGCGGUCACCAACCGGAGGCUAAGUAGGGAAGGAGCAAGAGCCCCAAGGGCACCAUACACAUGGGGCCGACAUACAUACACACAAGCGCACAGCAACAUGCCCUGGGCGCCACUCACCC
rnacentral:lncRNA from 1 species